GACGAACGCUGGCGGCGUGCCUAAUACAUGCAAGUCGAACGCAGUGGGGACGGGUGAGUAACACGUGGGUAACCUCCCAUCAGAGGGGAUAACACUUGGAAACAGGUGCUAAACCGAUACUGCUGGAUGGCACCGCGGUGCAUUAGGUAGUUGGGGCGGUAACGGCGCACAAAGGCCACGAGGCAUGGCGGACCUGAGAGGUGGAUCGGCCACAAUGGGACGUAGACACGGCCCAGACUCCUACGGGAGGCAGCAGUAGGGAAUUGUCGUCAAUGGACGAAAGUCUGACCGAGCAACGCCGCGUGAGUGAAGAAGGUUUUCGGAUCGUAAAACUCUGUUGUUAGAGAAGCGGUAUCUAACCAGAAAGCCACGGCUAACUACGUGCCAGCAGCCGCGGUAAUUC
rnacentral:rRNA from 1 species